CAGUCGCCGCGGUAAUACGUAGGGUGCGAGCGUUAAUCGGAAUUACUGGGCGUAAAGCGUGCGCAGGCGGUUCGUUAAGACAGAUGUGAAAUCCCCGGGCUUAACCUGGGAACUGCAUUUGUGACUGUAUAGCUAGAGUACGGUAGAGGGGGAUGGAAUUCCGCGUGUAGCGGUGAAAUGCGUUGAGAUCGGAAAGAACACCAACGGCGAAAGCACUCUGCUGGGCCGACACUGACACUGAGAGACGAAAGCUAGGGGAGCAAAUGGGAUUAGAUACCCGCGUAGUCCCUGUCUCUUAUAC
rnacentral:rRNA from 1 species